CCUACGGGGUGCAGCAGUGAGGAAUAUUGGUCAAUGGGCGCUAGCCUGAACCAGCCAAGUAGCGUGAAGGAUGACUGCCCUAUGGGUUGUAAACUUCUUUUAUAUGGGAAUAAAGUGCAGUAUGUAUACUGCUUUGCAUGUACCUUAUGAAUAAGGAUCGGCUAACUCCGUGCCAGCAGCCGCGGUAAUACGGAGGAUCCGAGCGUUAUCCGGAUUUAUUGGGUUUAAAGGGAGCGUAGGCGGGUUGUUAAGUCAGUUGUGAAAGUUUGCGGCUCAACCGUAAAAUUGCAGUUGAUACUGGCAGCCUUGAGUACAGUAGAGGUAGGCGGAAUGCGUGGUGUAGCGGUGAAAUGCUUAGAUAUCACGAAGAACUCCGAUUGCGAAGGCAGCCUGCUGGACUGUAACUGACGCUGAUGCUCGAAAGUGUGGGUAUCAAACAGGAUUAGAUACCCUAGUAGUC
rnacentral:rRNA from 1 species